UACGUAGGGUGCAAGCGUUGUCCGGAAUCAUUGGGCGUAAAGCGCGCGUAGGUGGUCAUGUAAGUCCGCUGUGAAAGUCAAAGGCUCAACCUUUGAAAGCCGGUGGAUACUGCAUGACUAGAGUACGGAAGAGGCGAGUGGAAUUCCUGGUGUAGCGGUGGAAUGCGCAGAUAUCAGGAGGAACACCAAUAGCGAAGGCAGCUCGCUGGGACGUUUACUGACACUGAGGCGCGAAAGCGUGGGGGAGCGAACAGG
rnacentral:rRNA from 1 species